GGACGGGGGUGGUGUGUGGCCACGCAGGGACACGGAGUCUGCUCUGCGGAUGGAAGGUUCUGGAAAUGGAGGUGGUCGUUGUACAAUGUUGUGAACGUGCUCUUGACCCCGAGCUUGUACAUGUUAAACAGAAACCAGCCCCACUUUAAAUUCCUGGAGGUGUGAGUGUCCCCCAAAUUACUGCCACGUGGUGAGCUGCGGCCACCGGCCGGUACCUGAGACUCCUCAGAGCUCGCUGGUCGUCUAGCGGAAAGUCAGCGGCCUUGGACGGACCACUCCACGUCUCCGGACCUCCCGCCCCUGGAAACCGCCGUCUGUCUCUGUGUCCAUACUUACGGAACAGCGCGGUGGGUGUCGGGCCAACAAGGACACAGCCUGCGCAGAGCCUGGACGCAUUGGCGACCGUGGAGGUCGACCCUUGGAACAUCCUUUACGGAUGGGAUUUCUACAGUGCCCGCCCCCUGGCAUCCACCGCGGGGCCCACCUGGGCUGGCAAGAAGGGGAAGACAGGGCAGGGCACCCCUGGGCCAGAAACGUCAGGAGGGGUCAUCUGCUUGCUGAACCCACCAACUCUCGAAGAUUGGAUCCAACAAGUCAGAGGUCACUCUUCUAUCUUUGAUCUGGGGGUUCUUUGCCUCGGGUCUAUUCUUGUCUUGCUUGGACAUGGGGUUCAUUAAACUGUCUCCUGUUCAUAUGCCAGUUGGUUAAGGCUUUAAGGACUACCUCGUCAACACCAAAGGAAUGAAUGUCUAAUGUGGAAUUCCAGGUGGUGUGGGAAAUGGGACGACACGGCUGGGCAUGUGGGCUGUUCCCUCUCUCCAAACUAACCCUCAUGCUUGGACUACUCAUGUGGCCUCUAAGCAAACUUUCGGCAGGCCGUGCGGAAGGUGGGAUGGAGACAGAACUGGGAGCAGUGGGCCCGGCCGUGCUCCCAGUGAGGAUGUGGUAAGGUUAUCGCUUCUACGCACCUCAAUCCCCACCCCUGAGUGUGGGCUGCUUCCAAAGAACAGAGAACCCUGGGAAAGGAAGUCGUGACCUCACAGGGGAGACACCUGUCAGACACACCUUGGGGAGGUGCUUGAGGUCGACAUCCACGGGGACGAUCCAGGCUGAGAGCAGGCGACCUUGACGCGACGUGACCACAGAGCCAUAUCACCUCUGUGCGCUUGCUCCCCAAAACCCCAAACCCUAGUCUAAACCCCAGCAUAGACCCCAACAGAGGCACAUCCUACAAACUCCCUCACCAGCAUGCCUCGUAACUGCCAAAAGGUGACCAGGAAUGGCGUGAGUCUGAGAAAGCGUCACAGCCCAGAGGAGCCCCUUGAUGUCACAGGGUGUCCUGGAUGGCGUCCUGGGGCACACGGGGGCCUUAUGGGAAACGGAGAUAUGCAUACAACACUCUCUCCUCUGUGCGCACCCCUGCAUUAGCCAGACUCCUCAGCACAAGUCUCCAGGAUGGAAUGUGAGGUCUUCCCUGGACCCCCGAUGCAGCCCCCGGCACUGUGGGAGGGCCUGGCUGGGAGUUGGUCCUCUGAGGGCUGUCCCCCCAGCCCUGCUCCUUCCCUGAGAGGGUCAGGAAGCCCUCAGCUCCCCCAGGGGGCUCAUCUGCAAGGCAGGGGGCGUGGUGACUUUCACUCACUUUUGCAACCGUGAAGGGCUUGAUCCUGAGGCAGCUGGUGGUUGUGGGUCCGCCCACAGAGAGCACCCACCUUCAUGUGGUUUGGGGUUUUCCUCUGGGGUCUGCGUGAGGCCGCCCCUCGUCUGAUGUCCUGUCGUCACAGUGAAGAUAGACCUCUUGAGAGUGAGGGGCCCUUCUUUCCCGCUUCUCAGACUUUUGAAUUUUCCAGAGCUCAGAGACCGGGUAAAAAGCCUCCUCUGCCUCUCCUUGUUUGUAUGUGUGUGUGCGUCACCUGUAUUUGUCCAUCAUCUAUACCUGUCAAUCAUUUCUAUGUGUCCAUCCAUCCAUCCACCCCCCUAUCAUCUGUCUAUCCAUCUAUCCAUCCAUCCAUCCUUCCAUAAUCUAUCCAUAUAUGCAUUUAUCUAUCAUUUAUCACUCGUCUAUGUAUCUGCAUACAUAGGCAUCUGUCUAUCCAUCCAACCAUUCAUCACUUAAUUACCAUCCAUGUAUCCAUCAU